rnacentral:rRNA from 1 species
UGAUCCAGUGAGGAAAGGGUGGCCCAGCUAUCGCUAAGAGAUGGACCCGCGGUGCAUUAGCUAGUUGGUAGGGUAAAGGCCUACCAAGGCGAUGAUGCAUAGCCGACCUGAGAGGGUGAUCGGCCACAUUGGGACUGAGACACGGCCCAAAUUCUACGGGAGGCAGCAGUAGGGAAUCUUCCGCAAUGGACGCAAGUCUGACGGAGCAACGCCGCGUGAGUGAAGAAGGUCUUCGGAUCGUAAAGCUCUGUUGUUAGAGAAGAACAGCGCAUAGAGUAACUGUUAUGCGUGUGACGUAUCUAACCA